rnacentral:rRNA from 1 species
UUGGAGGGCAAGUCUGGUGCCAGCAGCCGCGGUAAUUCCAGCUCCAAUAGCGUAUAUUAAAGUUGUUGCAGUUAAAAAGCUCGUAGUUGAAUUUCGGGAUCAAAUUGUUGGUCGUGCUUCGGUACGCACUGGCAUUAUUGGUUUCUACCUUCUGAAGAACCGCGAUGUCAUUAAUUUGGUGUCGUGGGGAAUCAGGACUGUUACUUUGAAAAAAUUAGAGUGUUUAAAGCAGGCUUACGCUUGAAUACAUUAGCAUGGAAUAAUGAAAUAGGACGUUUGAUUCUAUUUUGUUGGUUUCUAGGAUCGACGUAAUGAUUAAUAGGGAUAGUUGGGGGCAUUAGUAUUCAAUUGUCAGAGGUGAAAUUCUUGGAUUUAUUGAAGACUAACUACCGCGAAAGCAUUUGCCAAGGAUGUUUUCAUUAAUCAAGAACGAAAGUUAGGGGAUCGAAGACGAUCAGAUACCGUCGUAGUCUUAACCAUAAACUAUGCCGACUAGGGGAUCGGGAUGAUGUUAAUUUUUAA